UCGCGGUGGUUUUAAGUUCGCGGUGAAGUGGUAACCGCGAAAACCGCAAACAUUUCUGCAUUUACAGUAUGUGUCACGAGAUAACCUCGUGAUAGUCACGACCAGGUCUCCCCUGUGAUGAUAACCAUAUGGACAGGGGUCGGGUCACACGGCCACGCCACGGUGGCAGUCAGGAGAGGACACGACGUGGGAUAGGACGUGGUUGUUUACAGAGUAAAGUAGAGUAGAGUACAGAGGGCUGAGAAACAGAAUGAAGUUGAAUUUAUCAACUAUAUGGCUGUCACCUGUAUUUGAACGUGCACGUGACAUUCUGGUAGUGCAGCUGGGGUGGAGAUGAGGCAAGUUCAACCAAGAUAGAGAUGGGAACUGGGAGAUCGAGAGAACUGAGGACGUGGCAAGGCUAAUGGGCCUGUGAAGUGUGAUGGGUGACGCGCGGGGCAGAGAGGCAGAAAGAAAACAUAUAAAGAUGCCUGCCGAUCCCUGACCCUGAAGAGUAAUCUUCCAUGACCACUUUAUAGACACUCGGGGAGCGAGGCAAGAUGCGGCGGGUACGGGCGAUGGAGGGCUAAGUGGGAAAGACAUCUCAAAACUACUCGUCAGAAGGAAAGUCACAACGCCACAGGGGUCCGAACAGUCUAUGUGGUGACCAUCUGAGACGGUGGUGACUCCCAAGUGAUGAAGGAAUCGUCUAAGCAGUCUGGGUCAACGUCCUUUUGUAUAUCAUCGAGUUACAGUGCCGCAGGGGUACGUACUUGACGAUUACGUCAGACGUUGGCGAUUCCAGUAGGUCAAUCAUCGAAGCAGCUGCGGGUCAACGUAUUUCGGUAUGUCGUCAAGGCCAACCUACCGGACAAGAGCGACGACGACGAGGUGUUCCUGACAGACGUAUAUCAUGUCCAUCAGGACGACACAUUCCCGCCACACCCAACAUAGAGACUCUUACCGCCACAAGGGAAGUAGGUCGAGUCCCUUCACGAGAAGUGGCCAUCGCUGAGAGGAGCUAGAAUAUACGUUUGUGCGGCUUGAAAAUUCUGAACAGAGGGGGGCACAUUACAUCCAGAACAGCGCCAUCGACAGAAGGAAGGCAACAUGAGGGAAGUAGAGGCCAGUAGCAGAGCCAAGACGUGUAGCCGAUAGAUUUCGAUCAUACUUGUACGUGUAUAGAAAACCUGACAUGACACCAGUUAUAGAAUUCACGGAUUGACUGAUUAAUUGACAGUUUGUAUAUCACAAAUAUGUAUUUUAGUGUAUACAUUGUAGUAGUUUAUUUCAUAUGUAUAUCAAUGGACAUUAGAUGAAAUAACCGUUGUUUCGCCGAGUGACCUGUCUGUUUGAAACACCAAAAUUUGAACACGAGAUGUAAUGUAUUUGUAUGACAGAGGGUCAGAGAGUACAGUUCAGAAGAGAAAGACCGAGGUUAGUGAGGUCAGCAUUACCAUUAUAUAGUAACGUCAAACUACCUUAUAUCAACAGUCUCCCGUGCCCAGUGUACGGAAAACCUUGUCUCUGCGUCCUUCCUUUUCCUUUAUUCUACCUGUACUAGCUGCCCUAGUCUUCAAAGCAGAAUCUAAACAACAUGAAAUCCAUUGGUUUCAUGUCUUGUUUAAAACAUGUGACUUUUUAACCUUUCAAAAUCAGGCUUUACUUAGUCUGUAUCUAUAUAGCCGGUAUAACAGCCUUUCGGCGUAACACACCAGCUUCAAUUCCGAAGGACAACCACCUUCAUAUUUUAUAAAAAGAUAUUGACAAAAAUCUGUGACACAUUGGUCUUCAUUAUUUUUUGACCUCGUGAAAUCAUAUCAUCCCACCUUGUAAAAAGCAAAGCUCAAAAGAUAUUGGCAAAAGCUGUGCUAUAUUGGUCUUCAUUGUCUUCUUUAAAUCACUUUAUUUUUCUACCACUCAAAACCAGGCUCACUAUAACUCCAAACGAUAACCAAUUGACAGCAUUCCAUUCCGUAUUGUAAAAAGCACAAGCUUAUAUAAGAAAUAACGGCAAAAAUGUGGGACAUAUUGGUGUUCAUUACAACAUUCAUAAAGCAUGUGAAACAUCAUAAUGAUCUGUAUGUGCAGCUUAUGAUAUGCAGUCAUUCCCGGCUAUGUGAAAAGACCGCUCCCUUAAAACAUUAAUCCUGACGCAAAGAAUGCACAGCUAGAAUAGUCCUCAAUUACCACUGUAUGAACUAUACCCUUGAGGUUUAGCCAAAAAUCAAUUCCCAAGGGAAUGCAUUCGUGCAAUUUUCUAAAUUCUUUCAAAGCGAUCGUAAUACUGUAGAAAAUGCCUCCGCCCCUGAGGCGUCGCCAAAAAUAUG